GCCGGGGUGGCUCAGCUGGUUAGAGCGCACGGCUCAUAGGGUAUUAGUAGUGCUCGCUCUGUAUCUGGGAUACCGUGAGGCCGCGGGUUCGAAUCCCGCUCCCGGCA
rnacentral:tRNA from 1 species